rnacentral:rRNA from 1 species
GAUGAACGCUGGCGGCGUGCCUAAUACAUGCAAGUAGAACGCUGAAGGAGGAGCUUGCUCUUCUGGAUGAGUUGCGAACGGGUGAGUAACGCGUAGGUAACCUGCCUGGUAGCGGGGGAUAACUAUUGGAAACGAGAGCUAAUACCGCAUGACAACAGUUAUUGCAUGAUAACUGUUUAAAAGGGGCAACUGCUCCACUACCAGAUGGACCUGCGUUGUAUUAGCUAGUUGGUGAGGUAACGGCUCACCAAGGCGACGAUACAUAGCCGACCUGAGAGGGUGAUCGGCCAAACUGGGACUGAGACACGGCCCAGACUCCUACGGGAGGCAGCAGUAGGGAAUCUUCGGCAAUGGACGGAAGUCUGACCGAGCAACGCCGCGUGAGUGAAGAAGGGUUUCGGAUCGUAAAGCUCUGUUGUAAGAGAAGAACGAGUGUGAGAGUGGAAAGUUCACACUGUGACGGUAUCUUACCAGAAAGGGACGGCUAACUACGUG